UACGUAGGGUGCAAGCGUUAAUCGGAAUUACUGGGCGUAAAGCGUGCGCAGGCGGUUUUAUAAGUCUGUCGUGAAAGCCCCGGGCUCAACCUGGGAAUUGCGAUGGAGACUGCAAGGCUUGAAUCUGGCAGAGGGGGGUAGAAUUCCACGUGUAGCAGUGAAAUGCGUAGAGAUGUGGAGGAACACCGAUGGCGAAGGCAGCCCCCUGGGUCAAGAUUGACGCUCAUGCACGAAAGCGUGGGGAGCAAACAGG
rnacentral:rRNA from 1 species